UCUAGAGAACUGCAGUAAAAUUGAUGCUUGUAGAAGCCAUAGCCUGAUUCCGUAAUUGUUAAACUGUGUUGAUCAGGGCCACGAAGACAUGUAGCAACCUCAACCUCAAGAAACUGGAAAUCUUGUUGAGGAGGCAAGAAUCACAAGUAAAAAGUUGAAUAAGAAGUGAAAAAAAUGGUUUGAGAAUAUAAAAUAGAAAACUGCAGAGUGAGGAAGUUAGUGCACUAGUAAAUGUCAAGUGAAAUGUGUUUAUUCUUUGUUAACUGAACUGGGACUGGCAAGCCUGUUGCGACCCAACUUGCCAGAAGACUCUUCAACUGGGCAAAAUGUGCUUUCACUUUGUUCCAGGUCAGAUGGAUAAAAUGUGCAGAUUUCGUGGUGAACCCACUGGACAAAGAUAACCUUUCAUUUUUUUGUGCCUGGCUCCAAAAAAAAGGCAUCCCAGCCCUAACGACUGUAAUAACAGAAAACUGUCUUAAUAAAAACCUUUUCUUAUAAAGAAAUUCUUAUAAAUUUAACACAAAAGUCUUGAUACAUACCAAAUUCAAACUAUUCCUGGUAAUAAGAGCAGACAGAAGGUUAAAUCUCACUCCAGAAUUCUACUUCACCCUUAGCGAUAACAUGCAACUCAGGAAGUUACUUCCCUUACAAAGAACUAGCAUUUAUGCUUAAGACUAAAAUGAUUAUUUUUAAAGUACCCAUUUUACAAUGCAAAUAUGUAUCUAAAUUAAACUCAG
rnacentral:lncRNA from 9 species